GCACUCAAAUCUUUCCCAGGCCUGCUGCCUGGUGCUGGUCUGGGGACAGACAGUGCUAUAGUAGAGCAGAGGAAAUCCAGAUGGGUCGUUUCCAUCUUGUCCUGGGGCCUGUCUCUACAACUCUGCCACACAU